rnacentral:rRNA from 1 species
GAAUUCCUGGUGUAGCGGUGGAAUGCGCAGAUAUCAGGAGGAACACCGAUGGCGAAGGCAGGUCUCUGGGCCAAUACUGACACUGAGGAGCGAAAGCGUGGGGAGCGAACAGGAUUAGAUACCCUGGUAGUCCACGCCGUAAACGGUGGGCGCUAGUUGUGCGAACCUUCCACGGUUUGUGCGACGCAGCUAACGCAUUAAGCGCCCCGCCUGGGGAGUACGAUCGCAAGAUUAAAACUCAAAGGAAUUGACGGGGCCCCGCACAAGCAGCGGAGCAUGCGGCUUAAUUCGACGCAACGCGAAGAACCUUACCAAGGCUUGACAUAUACAGGAAUAUGGCAGAGAUGUCAUAGCCGCAAGGUCUGUAUACAGGUGGUGCAUGGUUGUCGUCAGCUCGUGUCGUGAGAUGUUGGGUUAAGUCCCGCAACGAGCGCAACCCUCGUUCUGUGUUGCCAGCAUUAAGUUGGGGACUCACAGGAGACUGCCGGGGUUAACUCGGAGGAAGGUGGGGAUGACGUCAAAUCAUCAUGCCCCUUAUGUCUUGGGCUGCACGCAUGCUACAAUGGCUGGUACAAACGGCUGCGAUACCGCAAGGUGGAGCGAAUCCGAUAAAGCCA